UACAAAAAUAUUUUUUGUCGCUUUAUGCCAGGAGUUCGAAGCUUGAAAAAAAGUUGAAGAGGUCUGCAUAACAAUCAGGUUUUGAUAUAAAAUAGAUUAAUUUUGAUUUAUGUGACCAGUUGGCAGUAAUUGGGCAAAAGUGUAAGUUGGCACAUUGCCAGCUGUUUUGAAUUUCGCGGUUCGAGGCAUUCCCUCAGAAAUUCCAGUGACGUAAACGUCGGGAAAUGUCAGAAAUUGGACACGUUCGGAAAUGCGAUGUAGUUUCUAUAAUUUAACGUUGAACUGUUCGAAUUUGGAAACCUGUCUAAAUUCUGAACUUUUCCCGGAUUGUGCAGAGGAAGCGGAUUGAUAUGUGGUAGGUGAGCCCAGGUAGAAGAUAUAGGUCUUUCAGUACGUUCGAGUAAGAUGCGUGUUAUUGUGUUAGUAAUAAACGAUAAAUGAUCUAAAGCUAUUUGGUGUGUUUCUAUUGUCAUUUUCUGCACGAAAUAACAGCUUGGGAGCGCACAUUGAAGGAAAGUAGUGCCGCAUUGGCACGACGCCAGCUCACGCCGUUAUCUGGCAGCAUGGUCAGCUGUGUGAAGCUCAACAUCACAGCGAAGGUGGUGAAAGUACUUGAAGACACCUGCCUCAAAGAUGUUCGAGGACAAAGCCUAAAUGCAAAAGUCAUACUUGUUGCAGAUGACACCGGAUGUGCCAAGUUAACAUUAUGGGAAAAGUUGAUACCUAUGGUUGAAAAUGAAAAAACCUACCAGUUCAGUGAAUUGUCCGUAUACUAUUUCGACCAAAACUCAUUAACAACCACCCCGGAAACUGCUAUCAAAGUUCAUACUGACAUAACGGUGAUUGAUAUAUCACAAGAUAUAAUUGAGGAACAACAUCUCGAUGACACCAACACAACAGUGAAGAAUGCCACAGUUCAGCAAGUUUCUGUAACAAUGAGAAAGGCAUGCUUGUCUUGUAAACAUGUUGUGCCAACAACCGACCACCACACCACAAAGUGUGGAAAUUGUGACAUGCGCCAGUUAACCAAAAUGUUAACACAAAACAUUCGGGUAAAAUUGCUCUUAAUGGCAGAGGACAAGGAAAGAAUCGCUGUCACAGGUCUAGACCAGAUCAUGAUUGACUUUCUGCUGAAAGAGGGACUAGUCAUAACUAAUGAUGUCACGACUGACGACAUUGAGGAAUUCAUUUUGAAUUUAGAAACUUUCCCAUCAGUAACAUACAAUGUGGACAGACUUGUUCUAAAAUUUUGAACCCAAUUCGUCAAACUGCAUAAUUCAUUUUCAAAUGCACAUGAUCCAGGCCUAUGGUAAAGCCUCCCAGAAAAUGGUGCACCACAGUUUGACAUGAUAUGUAAACCAGCACUAAAAGCGCCCUUCGGGUUGUGCAGUAAUUUCAUUCAGUUUUGGAAACGAAAAGCAUUUAUUUAGUUAUAAUUUGAAUACAAGCAGAAUGUUCCUAAUUGAAAGUCUAUUGUGUUUAGCCUUUUAUUAUCAUGAAACAUUGUAAUUUCUUACAAAUCUUAUACUGAUUUGAUUGCAUACUAAGUUACAUAAAUGUUCAUUUUCAGUACCCUUCUAACAUUGUCUAAAGACCGUGCCGCAAAAACAUCCACAUUAUGUAUACUCUUACAAAUGCAAAUAAAUAAGACAAAUACGUGUAUGAUUAUGAAUGCAUUAAUACUCAUGCAUAUUAACCAGAUACAAAAUGUAGACAUUUGUAAUUGUUUGUUUAUACUUCUUAAGAAGGUAUUAUUUUCUAUGUUCUAAGUUUAUUUUAUGCAUCCUUUAUGUUCAUAGAUAUAGGGAUCAUUUCAGAAGUUUUAUCCCAGGAGAGAUAACAUGAUCUUGCAUAUAAACAUUGUAAUUUCUGUUAAUUCUUGUACUAAUUUCAUCACAUACAAAGUUAUGUUAAUGUUUUCCUAAGGACUGUGACGCAAAUACGUCCUUAUGAUCCAUUAAGUUA